CGGACCGACGGGAGCUUGCUCCCUUAGGUCAGCGGCGGACGGGUGAGCUAACACGAUGGGUAACCUGCCUGUAAGACUGGGAUAACUCCGGGAAACCGGGGCUAAUACCGGAUGCUUGAUUGAACCGCAUGGUUCAAUCAUAAAAGGUGGCUUUUAGCUACCACUUNCAGAUGGACCCGCGGCGCAUUAGCUAGUUGGUGAGGUAACGGCUCACCAAGGCGACGAUGCGUAGCCGACCUGAGAGGGUGAUCGGCCACACUGGGACUGAGACACGGCCCAGACUCCUACGGGAGGCAGCAGUAGGGAAUCUUCCGCAAUGGACGAAAGUCUGACGGAGCAACGCCGCGUGAGUGAUGAAGGUUUUCGGAUCGUAAAACUCUGUUGUUAGGGAAGAACAAGUACCGUUCGAAUAGGGCGGCACCUUGACGGUACCUAACCAGAAAGCCACGGCUAACUACGUGCCAGCAGCCGCGGUAAUACCUAGGUGGCAAGCGUUGUCCGGAAUUAUUGGGCGUAAAGCGCGCGCAGGCGGUUUCUUAAGUCUGAUGUGAAAGCCCCCGGCUCAACCGGGGAGGGUCAUUGGAAACUGGGGAACUUGAGUGCAGAAGAGGAGAGUGGAAUUCCACGUGUAGCNGUGAAAUGCGUAAGAUGUGGAGGAACNCCAAGUGGCCNAAGGCGACUCUUCUUGGUCUGUUAACUG
rnacentral:rRNA from 1 species